GACGAACGCUGGCGGCGUGCUUAACACAUGCAAGUCGAACGGUAAGGCCCUUCGGGGUACACGAGUGGCGAACGGGUGAGUAACACGUGGGUGAUCUGCCCUGCACUUCGGGAUAAGCCUGGGAAACUGGGUCUAAUACCGGAUAGGACCACUGCCUGCAUGGGGGGUGGUGGAAAGCUUUUGCGGUGUGGGAUGGGCCCGCGGCCUAUCAGAUUGUUGGUGGGGUGAUGGCCUACCAAGGCGACGACGGGUAGCCGGCCUGAGAGGGUGACCGGCCACACUGGGACUGAGAUACGGCCCAGACUCCUACGGGAGGCAGCAGUGGGGAAUAUUGCACAAUGGGCGCAAGCCUGAUGCAGCGACGCCGCGUGAGGGAUGACGGCCUUCGGGUUGUAAACCUCUUUCAGCACCGACGAAGCGCAAGUGACGGUAGGUGCAGAAGGAGGACCGGCCAACUACGUGCCAGCCGCCGCGGUAA
rnacentral:rRNA from 1 species